AUGACAAGAUUUACUUUGAAAUGCAAUAGGUCUGGUAAACCUAGAAACAGGACAAAACCAACAACAUCAGGAGCAAAGAGGAGAAAGUACAAAUGUGAUAAAAAUGCACCUACUGUGCUUGAGAAUACAAUAGACAGAAGAAGGAAUUACACAAUCAAAACGGGUUGUCAAGCUCAACUGGUUGUUACCUGGAAGUUUGAGCUAGAAUAAUGGGUGGUCACAAGGCUGAUCAUUCAGCAUAAUCAUGAACUGCAUCCACUAGGGGAAGUCAGGUUCCUGAAAUCACACAAGCAUAUCACUAAGCAAGAGAAAGACUUGAUCAAUAUUUGCAAAACAGUAAAUAUACCAACUAGAAAGAUAAUGGGAAUCUUGUCAUUCUUUCGAGGAAAAGGGCUUUCUUCAUUGCCUUUCACACCAAAACAGAUUAGUAACAUGGGCACAAAAAUGAGAAGAGACAAUGGACUGAAUGAUAUGAUGCAAGUGGUAUCAUUUUUUAACAAAAAGUCAGAAUAUCCAUUGUUUUUCUACUCAUGCAAAACGGAUCCAAUGAAAAAUGUGAUGCAUAAAUUUUGGGCAGAUGGCAGUGGAAUAAGGAACUAUCAAUAGUAUGGUGACCUUCUCAGUUUCAACACAACCUACAAGACCAACAAAUACAAUCUAAAAUUUGCUCCAUAUGUCGGAGUAAAUGGUCAUGGAGACAACUGCCUAUUUGCAUGUGGUUUCAUUCAAUAUGAGAAGAAGGAAACAUUCGAGUGGCUGUUCAACACAUUUCUGAAAUGCAUGGGAGGGAAAAGUCCUAAAUCUGUCAUAACGGACGAAGAUGCUGCUAUGAAAAAGGCAGUACCUAAAUGCUUUCCAAAUUGCAAGCAUAGGAACUGUUUGUUCCACAUUCUCACAAAAGCUCAGAACAAAGCUAGAAGGACAUUUGGAAAGAACCAACAGUUGAAUGCCCAGUUUCAUGACAUAAUCCUAAACUCCCAAAUAGUGCAAGAAUUUGAGCAACUAUGGCCAGAAAUGAUACGGGAGCACAAUGUUGAGCAUAUCAAGUAUUUUGCAAUUAUGUGAAAAAACAGAGAUUCAUACCUGUCUAUUUCAAGAAUCACUUUUAUCCAUUUAUCCAGACGACAACGAGAAGCCAAGGCACGAAUGCUAUAUUCAAAGAAAAUUUGGGUUCAACUAACAGUGUGA
rnacentral:rRNA from 1 species